AAAGCAUUAUAUAAUUGGACAGGCGGCUUUUACUGACCAAUUAGUUACCUGUCUUGGCACAGACAGUGAACUUCAACAGCUUUUCUCACGUUUGAGUGGUUGGGGAAAAAAAUACUUCUGUGACACAUGAAAACCAUAUGAAUUUCCAGUCCCAGUGCCCGCAGGUGGUUCAGUUGGCAUCCAUAGAACCACCUAAGGCCGCCGAGGCUCUGCAGCCUCCAGGACGGCAGAACAAACACCACCCUGUCUUUUCAGUACCUGCCCUGUUCCCGGAGACCUUGAAUUAUCAGAUUCUAGUGCUCGGACAGGCUCACUCUCGGAAUCAGAAACAGGACAACCUAACUUUUCAGGUUUUUCUCCACACAGCCUAAAUCGGGCGAAUGACCAGGGUGACAAAUAGCAAGGCCAUUUCAACUUUCCCACGGCCAAGCAGGAGAAAGGAUUUCUACUCCCCCAGUUCAUUGUGACAACCGCGUCUGCUGUGGUCAUGGUUCGGGAGCGGAGACCGAAGUCAGCUCGGUGGUAUUUCUGUUCCAUGGAGGGGAAGGACGAGCAGGCAGAGGGAGGCCGCGCGGGUCCGGCGGCCGCGUGGACAGUGGUUUAAACAGGCCUCUGUUCCCUUAGGAUGUGUUGUACCCAGCAGAGUGUAUGCUUAGAAUAAAUCUAUCCCUCUGACCUCACUUCUUCCUCUGGCUGCACUGCCCCUGGACUUUCGAGGUGAGAACUCCUUGCCCAGCCCUCUGGGGAGGGGGCAGCUUGAUGACUCUGUCCCGUGGAAGCCCAGCUUCCUGUGACCUGAAGCAGGAGAAUGUUUGAGGACCGUCCAGCCAGUGACAAGGGAAAGAACAGCAACCGUGGGGCAGGACCAAGUCCGCAGCGAGAGAGACCAGAGCAAGGCGUUCCUGGAAGCCGUCAGUGUCGGCCCAGGGGGUGCGGCCCUGCGGAAAACCUGGUGUCUGAGGUGGACUGAACGAGUCCUUCUUUGUAAUCAAAGCAGACGAAUCCACCCGGAAGUGUGUAUCUGGGCCUCAGUAAUGUAUUUCCUUAAUUGAUGCUAUGGAUGUGAUUGAAAAGAUGUCUUUCAAUGUGACACAGCAAAUCCAUGAAUCAGAAGUGGAGUGCAUGCUUUCGCUCUAGGUACACUAAUGAAUGGCUCCAUCCUGGGGGAGGAGCUCACUUUAAAAGUAAAGUUACCCCUUUGGUCUGGUUCUGUUUAACACUUUAUCAUCAAUUUUGUUGAAAUUUACAUUUACUUAUUAAAUUCACAGAGGAGAAAUUUAUUGUUUAACUGGAUCCUAUAAGAUGUUAAAUCCAGCAAGAUAACAUUUACAAAAUUUGAUAAAAAUA